rnacentral:rRNA from 1 species
ACUUCCGAAUAGGGCCGUCGGAGACGACGACGUCGAUAGGUUGCAGGUGUAAAGUCAGAAAUGACAUAGCCGAGCAAUACUAAUAGCCCGGAAACUUAAACCGG